rnacentral:rRNA from 1 species
UGGUGGGCACUCUAAGGAGACUGCCGGUGACAAACCGGAGGAAGGGUGGGAUGACGUCAAGUCAUCAUGGCCCUUACGGCCUGGGCUACACACGUGCUACAAUGGUCGGUACAAAGGGUUGCCAAGCCGCGAGGUGGAGCUAAUCCCAUAAAACCGAUCGUAGUCCGGAUCGCAGUCUGCAACUCGACUGCGUGAAGUCGGAAUCGCUAGUAAUCGUGAAUCAGAAUGUCACGGUGAAUACGUUCCCGGGCCUU